CCUACGGGUGGCAGCAGUAGGGAAUAUUGCUCAAUGGGGGAAACCCUGAAGCAGCAACGCCGCGUGGAGGAUGAAGGUUUUCGGAUUGUAAACUCCUUUUGUUAGAGAAGAUAAUGACGGUAGCAGAGGAGGAAGCUCCGGCUAACUACGUGCCAGCAGCCGCGGUAAUACGUAGGGAGCAAGCGUUGUCCGGAUUUACUGGGUGUAAAGGGUGCGUAGGCGGCUUUGCAAGUCAGAAGUGAAAUCCAUGGGCUUAACCCAUGAACUGCUUUUGAAACUGCAUCCCUUGAGUGCGCGAGAAGUAUGCGGAAUGCGUGGUGUAGCGGUGAAAUGCAUAGAUAUCACGCAGAACUCCGAUUGCGAAGGCAGCAUACCGGCGCGCAACUGACGCUCAUGCACGAAAGCGUGGGUAUCGAACAGGAUUAGAUACCCUUGUAGUC
rnacentral:rRNA from 1 species